GCACAAAUGAUGGAAAAAUCACUAUUUGGAAAAAAAUGACAUGAACAAAGGAACCACUGAUGCGC